rnacentral:lncRNA from 1 species
CUACAUCAGAAGAGAUGUCCUGAAAUAUGAUAGAAGAUAGCGGAGAGAGGUUAAAGGGUGAAUGAAAGCUUUUGUUUCAAAAGGUAAUAAUAAUAACAACUUAUCUCCCUGCUUUUCUAUUGCUGUAUCUUCCUUUUUCCUUUGUUUUUCUUCCUUCCUGGGAGAUAAGGAAGGGCUGCAGUUCUACAUGAAAAAUAAGUGAAACUCACGUAAAUUUUUCAGUACAUGUGUUCUGUUUGCAAAAAGACAGCCUAAGAACCUGAAGAAAAAAGACACAUAAGCAUGUAAAAAUCUAUUCCAGGCAGUAUUUGUAUGCAACUUUCUGGAAUCUGUUGGUGGAACAUGUAUUAAAUUUCUGCUUUUCAGCUGAUCUGAUACAGGUGUAGCGACUACCACAGGCUGAUGUCAUUAAUUGUAAUGUUCUGUAGGAGUAAUCAAUGAACUCUGUUUCCUGAAAACAGUUUCACCUUUGAGCUAUUAGUGCUAUAAUGAAGAGGGCGCAGAAUAUACUUACAUAAAGAACUUAGAAUCUAUUAGCACCUGUGCUGAGCACUAAAGCUGCUGAUACUUUGCAUGCAAAUUGUAGUCAUCAUCCGAGAAGAAGCAGAGUUCAUAGGUUCAAUAUUCUCUCACUUUCAAUCUCCUAUGUCAGCUAUGUCUUAACCAGCUGGGGGCAGAAUUACAUUCUGGAAAUUAGUGAGAAAAAAAGAAGAGGGCUGCAAACCUUCUUUCACACAGUACAUCUUGGCUCACUUCCUGCCCUUGGAAAAGAUUGUUUCAAUACCUGUGAACAUGUGCAUUACAAGAGACAGACUUGCUCCUUCCUGCAUCGAAAACUGAGCUCUGAAUAUUUCUCUGAGAACCUCAAGCAUGGAUAAUUAGCACAUUGAACAGAGAGUGCCUUCCUACCCCUGAAAGAAAAAAAGGAGUUGACUGAGGCAGCACCACUAUUACAGGCUGAGGACUAGCUCCACAUGACUCAAAGUGAAAGAGAGAAAUGAAACCAAAGCCUCCUACAGCAAAUUUCAUCCUACCUCUCUUCUCCCUUUCUCGAACCAAACUGUAUUGUCUUAAUCUGAGAAUGUGAUUUAUUUGUGAAAUACCUAGUGGGUGGCAGAGGUGGGGAGCAAAGCUGCACAAAGCUCCCCAGAGCUGCUGACCGAGGUAAAUAGUGUGUCAUAACACAUUUAUCAAAUAAUAAUGGAAACCGUAUAGAACAUGUAGGAGAGGGAGGGGGAAACCCCAUUCCCCACUGGGAAGUUACUGAAUAUUUCAGCCAGUUUAUAAAAAUAUGUGUACAUGUGUUUGGAAGGGGGGAGGUUUUUCUAGCUUCACCUCUGCAAAUAAAUCAUUGGUGUGGGAUGUCUGAGCA